GGGCGGUUACUCAAGUGGCCAACGAGGGCAGACUGUAAAUCUGCUGGCUUAUGCCUCCGGGGGUUCGAAUCCCUCACCGCCCA
rnacentral:tRNA from 1 species